rnacentral:rRNA from 1 species
GACGAACGCUGGCGGCGUGCUUAACACAUGCAAGUCGAACGGAAAGGCCCUGCUUUUGUGGGGUGCUCGAGUGGCGAACGGGUGAGUAACACGUGAGUAACCUGCCCUUGACUUUGGGAUAACUUCAGGAAACUGGGGCUCAUACCGGAUAGGAGCUCCUGCUGCAUGGUGGGGGUUGGAAAGUUUCGGCGGUUGGGGAUGGACUCGCGGCUUAUCAGCUUGUUGGUGGGGUAGUGGCUUACCAAGGCUUUGACGGGUAGCCGGCCUGAGAGGGUGACCGGCCACAUUGGGACUGAGAUACGGCCCAGACUCAUACGGGAGGCAGCAGUGGGGAAUAGUGCACAAUGGGCGGAAGCCUGAUGCAGCAACGCCGCGUGCGGGAUGACGGCCUUCGGGUUGUAAACCGCUUUCGCCUGUGACGAAGCGUGAGUGACGGUAAUGGGUAAAGAAGCACCGGCUAACUACGUG